GUGCUCACUUUGGCCACACAUAUACUAAAGUUGGAACAAUACAGAGAAGAUUACCAUGGCCCCUGGACAAGAAUGACACUCAAAUUCAUGAAAUGGUCCACAGUUUU
ensembl:snRNA U6 U6 spliceosomal RNA